rnacentral:rRNA from 1 species
GCAGUGUACCCGCGGCAAGACGGAAAGACCCCGUGAACCUUUACUAUAGCUUGACACUGAACAUUGAGCCUUGAUGUGUAGGAUAGGUGGGAGGCUUUGAAGCGUGGACGCCAGUCUGCGUGGAGCCGACCUUGAAAUACCACCCUUUAAUGUUUGAUGUUCUAACGUUGGCCCCUUACCGGGGUUGCGGACAGUGUCUGGUGGGUAGUUUGACUGGGGCGGUCUCCUCCCAAAGCGUAACGGAGGAGCACGAAG